rnacentral:misc_RNA from 1 species
AAGUCGUAACAAGGUCUCCGUUGGUGAACCAGCGGAGGGAUCAUUACAGAGCGUGACUGCUCCCUUAACCCACUGUGAACAUACCUGCGUUGCCUCGGCGGUGCGAUGGCCACGCCCGCCGGCGGCCCAACCAACCUCUUUAUAGCUGUUAGCAUCUCUCUGAAACAAAAAAACAAACCAGUUAAAACUUUCAACAACGGAUCUCUUGGCUCUG